rnacentral:rRNA from 1 species
UACGAAGGGGGCUAGCGUUGCUCGGAAUCACUGGGCGUAAAGGGCGCGUAGGCGGCCAUUCAAGUCGGGGGUGAAAGCCUGUGGCUCAACCACAGAAUUGCCUUCGAUACUGUUUGGCUUGAGACCGGAAGAGGUAAGUGGAACUGCGAGUGUAGAGGUGAAAUUCGUAGAUAUUCGCAAGAACACCAGUGGCGAAGGCGGCUUACUGGUCCGGCUCUGACGCUGAGGCGCGAAAGCGUGGGGAGCAAACAGG